rnacentral:tRNA from 1 species
GCCGGGAUGGCGGAAUUGGUAGACGCGCAGGUUUCAGGAGCCUGUGGUGGAAACACCGUGCCGGUUCAACUCCGGCUCUCGGCACCA